AGUGAACGCUGGCGGUAGGCCUAACACAUGCGAGUCGAACGGCAGCACAGUAAGAGCUUGCUCUUACGGGUGGCGAGUGGCGGACGGGUGAGGAAUACAUCGGAAUCUACUUUUUCGUGGGGGAUAACGUAGGGAAACUUACGCUAAUACCGCAUACGACCUACGGGUGAAAGCAGGGGAUCUUCGGACCUUGCGCGAUUGAAUGAGCCGAUGUCGGAUUAGCUAGUUGGCGGGGUAAAGGCCCACCAAGGCGACGAUCCGUAGCUGGUCUGAGAGGAUGAACAGGCAAAAUGGAACUGAGAAACCGGCCCAGACUCUAAGGGAGGGCAGAGGUGGGAAUAAUGGGAAAAUGGGGGAAAGCUUGUCCAGGCAAGACGGGGUGGGUGAAGAGGGCCUUCGGGUGGAAAGCCCUUUUGUUGGGAAAGAAAAGCAGCAGGUUAAUACCCCGCUGUUCUGACGGUACCAAAAGAAUAAGCACCGGCUAACUUCGUG
rnacentral:rRNA from 1 species